UACGUAGGGUGCAAGCGUUGUCCGGAAUUAUUGGGCGUAAAGAGCUCGUAGGCGGUCUGUCGCGUCGGAUGUGAAAGCCCGGGGCUUAACCCCGGGCCUGCAGUGGGUACGGGCAGACUAGAGUGCGGUAGGGGAGACUGGAAUUCCUGGUGUAGCGGUGAAAUGCGCAGAUAUCAGGAGGAACACCGGUGGCGAAGGCGGGUCUCUGGGCCGUAACUGACGCUGAGGAGCGAAAGCGUGGGGAGCGAACAGG
rnacentral:rRNA from 1 species